CCUACGGGUGGCAGCAGUGGGGGAUAUUGGACAAUGGGGGAAACUCUGAUCCAGCGACGCCGCGUGCGUGAAGCAGUCUUUCGGAAUUUAAAGCUCUAUCAGCAGAAGAGAAAGACAUGACGGUACCUGAGUAAUAAGCGCCGGCUACCUACGUGCCAGCAGCCGCGGUCAUACGUAGGGGGCAAGCGUUAUCCGGAUUUACUGGGUUUACAGGUAGCGUAGACGGCAGUGUAAGUUGGGAGUGAAAGGCGGGGGCUUAACCCCCGGACUGCCCUGGACACUGUACGGCUGGAGUGCAGGUGAGGUAAGUGGAAUUCCUAGUGUAGCGGUGAAAUGCGUAGAGAUUAUGAGGAACACCAGUGGCGAAGGCGGCUUACUGGACUGUAACUGACGUUGAGGCUCGAAAGCGUGGGGAGCAAACAGGAUUAGAUACCCGGGUAGUC
rnacentral:rRNA from 1 species